rnacentral:lncRNA from 12 species
UUUGUCUUUUGCUCUUUCCCUGUGUAAGAUUCUGCUUGGUGGCUGGACAGAAGAAGGAGGAGAAAGAAGUGAUGAGAAUGUGGAGAACAGGUGCAUCACGGGUUGUGUGCAGCCCCCUUCCCUCCAGAUCCCUGGUUAUCCCUGUGUGCUGCCCCAGGAACUCGUGGAAAGAUCUCCAAGCCCGGUGUGAGUCAGCUCCCCUGCAGCAGUGGCAGUGCUGGAGCAGGCAGCUUGUUUGCAUCAGCAAAGCAGACCAUGAUGAAGGCAGCUGUAACUGCACACUUUUGCCUCCUAGCAAGUUGUGUUCCUGGGAGAGUGAAGUUUGGCCCUCGGGGCUGGAAUGGAAGGUACCCGAUCGAUCAGCACCUGAGAUCUCCAUCUGUGUCACUGUCCUCAGCCACAGCUCAGAGGCCACAGGAAGGUGGGUGCCACAGGAAGACUUGCAUAACCUCCUCAGUGAGAUCAUGUAAGGUGGCCACGUCACGGGUGCCUGGGACUGCAGGCUCUGCUGGAUCUGUCUGCAGGAAUUCCUCAGCCUGAAAAUCCUGGUGAGGGUUUUCAUAUGUGCCUAAAGCUCAUGAACAGGUACACAGUAUAUUUAACCUAAGGGAAAGAGAAAACCACACGCUGUCUCAUCC